rnacentral:rRNA from 1 species
GACGAACGCUGGCGGCGUGCCUAGUACAUGCAAGUCGUGCGGACCUUGUUGAAAGCUUGCUUUUAAAAGGUUAGCGGCGGACGGGUGAGUAACACGUGGGCAACCUGCCUGUAAGACUGGGAUAACGCCGGGAAACCGGGGCUAAUACCAGAUCGUUUUUUCCUCCGCAUGGAGGAAAAAGGAAAGGCGGCUUCGGCUGCCACUUACAGAUGGGCCCGCGGCGCAUUAGCUAGUUGGCGGGGUAAUGGCCCACCAAGGCAACGAUGCGUAGCCGACCUGAGAGGGUGAUCGGCCACAUUGGGACUGAGACACGGCCCAAACUCCUACGGGAGGCAGCAGUAGGGAAUCUUCCGCAAUGGACGAAAGUCUGACGGAGCAACGCCGCGUGAGUGAAGAAGGCCUUCGGGUCGUAAAACUCUGUUGCCGGGGAAGAACAAGUGCCGUUCGAACAGGGCGGCGCCUUGACGGUACCCGGCCAGAAAGCCACGGCUAACUACGUG